rnacentral:rRNA from 1 species
CCUAUGGGUGGCUGCAGUGAGGAAUAUUGGUCAAUGGGCGCGAGCCUGAACCAGCCAAGUCGCGUGAAGGAUGACUGCCCUACGGGUUGUAAACUUCUUUUAUAAAGGAAUAAAGUGAGGCACGUGUGCCUUUUUGUAUGUACUUUAUGAAUAAGGAUCGGCUAACUCCGUGCCAGCAGCCGCGGUAAUACGGAGGAUCCGAGCGUUAUCCGGAUUUAUGGGGUUUAAAGGGAGCGUAGAUGGGUUGUAAAGUCAGGUGGGAAAGUUUGCGGCUCAACCGUAAAAGUGCAAUUGAUACUGGCAGCCUUGAGUACAGUUGAGGUAGGCGGAAUUCGUGGUGUAGCGGUGAAAUGCUUAGAUAUCACGAAGAACUCCGAUUGCGAAGGCAGCUUACUAAUCUGCCACUGACAUUGAUGCUCGAAAGUGUGGGUAUCAAACAGGAUUAGAUACCCCAGUAGUC